rnacentral:pre_miRNA from 1 species
ANUGUACUCCCUCCGUCCGAAAAUACUUGUCAUUGAAAUGGAUGUAUCUAGAUGUAUUUUAGUUCUAGACACAUCCAUUUUGAUGACAAGUAAUUCCGGACGGAGGGAGUACUUG